GAUGAACGCUAGCGGCAGGCCUAACACAUGCAAGUCGAGGGAGAAGCCCUUCGGGGCAGAAACCGGCGCACGGGUGCGUAACGCGUAUGCAACCUACCUUUCACAGGGGGAUAGCCCGAAGAAAUUUGGAUUAAUACCCCAUAAUAUUAUUGGAUGGCAUCAUUUGAUAAUUAAAAUUACGAUGGUGAAAGAUGGGCAUGCGUCCUAUUAGCUAGUUGGAGUGGUAACGGCACCCCAAGGCUACGAUAGGUAGGGGUCCUGAGAGGGAGAUCCCCCACACUGGUACUGAGACAGGGACCAGACUCCUACGGGAGGCAGCAGUGAGGAAUAUUGGUCAAUGGUCGGAAGACUGAACCAGCCAUGCCGCGUGCAGGAAGAAUGCCUUAUGGGUUGUAAACUGCUUUUAUAUGGGAAGAAUAAGGAGUACGUGUACUUUGAUGACGUACCAUAUGAAUAAGCU
rnacentral:rRNA from 1 species